rnacentral:rRNA from 1 species
AUUGAACGCUGGCGGCAGGCCUAACACAUGCAAGUCGAACGGUAACAGGAAGCAGCUUGCUGCUUUGCUGACGAGUGGCGGACGGGUGAGUAAUGUCUGGGAAACUGCCCGAUGGAGGGGGAUAACUACUGGAAACGGUAGCUAAUACCGCAUAACGUCGCAAGACCAAAGAGGGGGACCUUAUGGCCUCUUGCCAUCGGAUGUGCCCAGAUGGGAUUAGCUAGUAGGUGGGGUAACGGCUCACCUAGGCGACGAUCCCUAGCUGGUCUGAGAGGAUGACCAGCCACACUGGAACUGAGACACGGUCCAGACUCCUACGGGAGGCAGCAGUGGGGAAUAUUGCACAAUGGGCGCAAGCCUGAUGCAGCCAUGCCGCGUGUAUGAAGAAGGCCUUCGGGUUGUAAAGUACUUUCAGCGGGGAGGAAGGGAGUCAAGUUAAUACCUUUGCUCAUUGACGUUACCCGCAGAAGAAGCACCGGCUAACUCCGUG